UCGACUGUUUAACAAAAACAUUUCUUUUUUGUUUUUAUAAAAAGUAAAACCUGCCCACUGAAUUUUGAAGGGCCGCGGUAUUUUGACCGUGCUAAGGUAGCGUAAUCAUUAGUCUCUUAAUUAGGGAAUGGUAUGAAUGGUUAAACUUAAAAAUAUUUUAUGUGUUAAAAAGUUUUAAAUUUUAGUUUUUACUGAAAACGGUUAAAUUUAGUAAUAAGACGAUAAGACCCUAUAGAGCUUAACUCAUAAAACUAAUAGAACUUUGGGGGAAAGUUCUAUUAGUUUUAUGAGUUUAGUUGGGGCAAUUUUAGAAUAAAAUAAACUUCUAAAAAUAUAUCUUUAAUUUAAAAAUAUAAAAAAAGUUACCUUAGGGAUAACAGCGUUAUGAUUUUUGAGAGUUCUUAUCGAUAAAAUUGUUUGCGACCUCGAUGUUGAAUUAAAAAGUCUUCAAGGAGCAAAGUUUUUGAAAGAUAGUCUGUUCGACUAUUAAUUUUUUACAUGAUUUGAGUUCAGACCGGA
rnacentral:rRNA from 1 species